rnacentral:rRNA from 1 species
GACGAACGCUGGCGGCGUGCUUAACACAUGCAAGUCGAACGGUAAGGCCCUUCGGGGUACACGAGUGGCGAACGGGUGAGUAACACGUGGGUGAUCUGCCCUGCACUUCGGGCUAAGCCUGGGAAACUGGGUCUAAUACCGGAUAGGACCACUGCCUGCAUGGGUGGUGGGGGAAAGCUUUUGCGGUGUGGGAUGGGCCCGCGGCCUAACAGCUUGUUGGUGGGGUGAUGGCCUACCAAGGCGACGACGGGUAGCCGGCCUGAGAGGGGGACCGGCCACACUGGGACGGAGAUACGGCCCAGACUCCUACGGGAGGCAGCAGUGGGGAAUAUUGCACAAUGGGCGCAAGCCUGAUGCAGCGACGCCGCGUGAGGGAUGACGGCCUUCGGGUUGUAAACCUCUUUCAGCACCGACGAAGCGCAAGUGACGGUAGGUGCAGAAGAAGGACCGGCCAACUACGUGCCAGCCGCCGCCGUAA